rnacentral:rRNA from 1 species
UACGAGGGGGGCAAAUGUUGUUCGGAAUCACUGGGCGUAAAGGGCGCGUAGGCGGGUUUCUAAGUCAGGUGUUUAAUCCCGGGGCCCAACCCCGGACAGGCACUUGAAACUGGGAAUCUUGAAUAGUGGAGAGGUCAGUGGAAUUGGAGGUGUAGCGGUGGAAUGCGUAGAGAUCUCCAAGAACACCAGUUGCGAAGGCGGCUGACUGGACACAUAUUGACGCUGAGGAACGAAAGCUAGGGGAGCAAACAGG